AGAAGAGAGGAAGCCCUAAGUAAAUUUUAUUUUCCUCUAUCCCUAUCUGCACUUUCAACCUUGAAUGUGUUAACCUAUGCAAAAUACUUGGAAGGGAACCCGGCAGAGGGUAAGUGCUAAAGAAGCAUCAUCUGAAGGACGCUGGAGCAUUAGGAUAAGGAGCCAGACUGUCUGGCUUUGAAUCUCCACCGUGCUGCUUGAUACCUGUGUGGCUUUGGGCAAGUUACUCAGCCUUUCUGUGCCUCAGGUCCCUCAUUUGUAAAAUGAGGGUAUAACAACAGUCCCUACCUCACAGGGUAUUUUGGAGGAUUAAAUGUGUAAAUGAAAACAUGCAGAGAACAUAGAACGCACCCAGCCAAUAGUAAGUGGUUGUGUUUGUUAUUUCAGGUUCCUUGGGCCCUUGCUCUGGACCUCGUGCUCAUUGGACCCUGCAUUCUCUGCUGUCUUGGAACUUGGAUACACCAAUUCUUGCCAAGACUAUGAGCUGUGGGAAGCUGGGACCACUUGAUUGAGCAGCUAGCACAAACCAAAAGGACAUUGCUAUAACUCAAUUUAGAUGGCAGCAUUAUAUUGGGACAAAGCGUCCAAGAAGUUCCAGUCUUGCAAGGGCAAGAUUCCAUAAGAAAAAGGUAAGA